UUGGAGGGCAGUCUGGUGCCAGCAGCCGCGGUAAUUCCAGCUCCAAUAGCGUAUAUUAAAGUUGUUGCAGUUAAAAAGCUCGUAGUUGAACCUCGGGGUCUACCCAUUGGUCAGGCUUAAUUGUCUGCACUGGUGAGAUGGAUCUCUACCUUCUGAGGAACUUUCAUGCCAUUUAUUUGGUGUGAUGGGAAAUCAGGACUGUUACUUUGAAAAAAUUAGAGUGUUUAAAGCAGACUAUCGUCUGAAUACAUUAGCAUGGAAUAAUGAAAUAGGACGGACUGAUUCUAUUUCGUUGGUUUCUAGGAUCACCGUAAUGAUUAAUAGGGAUAGUUGGGGGCAUUAGUAUUCAAUUGUCAGAGGUGAAAUUCUUGGAUUUAUUGAAGACUAACUACUGCGAAAGCAUUUGCCAAGGAUGUUUUCAUUAAUCAAGAACGAAAGUUAGGGGAUCGAAGACGAUCAGAUACCGUCGUAGUCUUAACCAUAAACUAUGCCGACUAGGGAUCGGACGAAGUUAAUUUUAUAAUGACGCGUUCGGCGCCUUACGGGAAAC
rnacentral:rRNA from 1 species